rnacentral:rRNA from 1 species
CCUACGGGAGGCAGCAGUGAGGAAUAUUGGUCAAUGGGCGAGAGCCUGAACCAGCCAAGUCGCGUGAGGGAAGACGGUCCUAUGGAUUGUAAACCUCUUUUGCCGGGGAGCAAAAAGCGGUACGUGUACCGCAUCGAGAGUACCCGGAGAAAAAGCAUCGGCUAACUCCGUGCCAGCAGCCGCGGUAAUACGGAGGAUGCGAGCGUUAUCCGGAUUUAUUGGGUUGAAAGGGUGCGCAGGCGGCGAGUUAAGUCAGCGGUAAAAUUUCGGGGCUCAACCCCGACGAGCCGUUGAAACUGGCGUGCUAGAGUGGGCGAGAAGUAUGCGGAAUGCGUGGUGUAGCGGUGAAAUGCAUAGAUAUCACGCAGAACUCCGAUUGCGAAGGCAGCAUACCGGCGCCCAACUGACGCUCAGGCACGAAAGCGUGGGUAUCGAACAGGAUUAGAUACCCGAGUAGUC